GGAAGAAAAGAGGAAGAAACACUGGGCCCUUUUCUCCCUAGAUUCACCUGUGGAAGGGAAUGAGCAAGCAGACGAAAAAGAAGAUAAGGAACAACCUUGUCAUUGAACGUGCCUUAAGUUCUGCCCUUAUUCUCCACCUCAAUCAGAAGCAGCUUUCUCUCUCUUUCUCUCUCUCUCUUGACUUUAAUCUCUGUUAAACACCAUUCUGACAAAACUUGUGGGAGUGCAGUCUGACUGGAGAGGAACGGGCGUAAGAAAUCAUCACAAGUAUCUGCUCUGCAGGAGGAAGACGUAUCUUUUAAAGCCCCCUCCACUUCUUCCUCUGCGGUCUCUUCAUUAUGACCUUGCUGGCGUCUGAGAGGUCACUGCUCAUCCGCAAUAAGUUCCGCUCAGUUCUGCAGUUGAGGAUCCAGAACCGAAGACAGCAGAAUGAACUUAAUGCAGAGGCUGGUACAAAGGCCUCAGUUCCUGAUAAAACUGGGGACAAAGAAGUCAGCAAU
ensembl:processed_transcript